UAAUACUCCAUAGAUUAGAGACACUGGAAUGUUCUUUAGUCGAAAGUUCUGGCGCCUUAGGAUGGAUCUGCGGUCGAUUAGGUUGUUGUUGGGUAACAGUCCCAACAAGCCUGUAAUCGAUACGGGUUGUGGAGCCAAGAGCCCGGAGAUGGAAUCUGAGACACGAUUCCAGGCCCUACGGAGCGCAGCAGGCGCGAAAACUUUACAAUGCAGGAAACUGUGAUAAGGGAACUCCGAGUGCCCGUAUACGCGGGCUGUCCAGGUGUUUAAAAAUCAUCUGAAGAAAGGGCCGGGCAAGACCGGUGCCAGCCGCCGCGGUAAUACCGGCGGCUCGAGUGGUGGUCGAUUUUAUUGAGUCUAAAGCGUUCGUAGCCGUUUUGAUAAAUCCUUGGAUAAAUCGGGAAGCUUAACUUUCCAACUUCCGAGGAGACUGUCAAACUUGGACCCGGGAGAGGCUAGAGGUACUUCUGGGGUAGAGGUAAAAUCCUGUAAUCUUAGAAGGACCACCGGUGGCGAAGGCGUCUAGCUAGAACGGAUCCGACGGUGAGGGACGAAGCCCUGGGUCGCAAACGGGAUUAGAUACCCCGGUAGUCCAGGGUGUAACGCUGCCGACUUGGUGU
rnacentral:rRNA from 1 species